AUUGAACGCUGGCGGCAGGCCUAACACAUGCAAGUCGAACGAGUGGCGGACGGGUGAGUCAUGUCUGGGACACUGCCUGAUGGCGGGGGAUAACUACUGGAAACGGUAGCUAAUACCGCAUACCAUCGGCUUUGCCCAGAUUGGAUUAGCUAGUAGGUGGGGUAAAGGCUAACCGAGGCUACGGUCCCUAGCUGGUCUGAGAGGGUGACCAGCCACACUGGAACUGAGACACGGUCCAGACUCCUACGGGAGGCAGCAGUGGGGAAUAUUGCACAAUGGGCGCAAGCCUGAUGGAGCCAUGCCGCGUGUAUGAAGAAGGCCUUCGGGUUGUAAAGUACUUUCAGCGGGGAGGCGUUACCCGCAGAAGAAGCACCGGCUAACUCCGUGCCAGCAGCCGCGGUAAUAC
rnacentral:rRNA from 1 species